CGGAAGUCACUGAAGGCCGUUGCGUGGGGUGGGUCCAAGCAGGCAAAGGGUCGAGGGAGAAAGGUCAGCCGCAGUCAGCCACAGCCGCGACUGCAAAGCCACCCUUGGCUGCCGGUCCAGUUGUCAAGCAAGGGUCCCAGCUGGGGCUACUGCUGGGGGGCUCAAGGAAGGCCUCUGAGCACCAUGGGCUGCAUUAUGCUAGCCUGGCAGCCACCACUGGGACUCCCCAGGUCGCUAGACUGCCCAAUAAAUCAUUACGCCUUUGAGCCUCUGUGCCUUGUGUGUAUAGAUUCUUCCAGCAGUCACCUCUGAGAGCCGCCGAUGCACCAGCUCCCGUAGAUUCAGUGAACAGACCCGGCGCUUAGAUCAAGCUGCUCACAAAUUAGCAGGCGAGCAGCAGUGCCCACCAUGUUCCGGAACAGUGCUCACGAGACAGACUCUGACCCCAAGGAGCUCCCAGGCCAGCAGGAGAUGAGGACAGUCUGGAGAUGCACACAGACAAUAACAACAGAGCGGGAGACACGCUAUGACAGAGGUCGGUAACUUUGAGACUUCGCCAUGCUACACUUCGGAGCCCUCAUCUACCCAAUGGACAUGCUAAUACUCACCUCUCCAAUUCGCAGAAUUAAGUGUGUUAAAUGAUAA